AAGAAUCUUCCGCAAUGGGCGAAAGCCUGACGGAGCGACGCCGCGUGAACGAUGAAGGCCGAGAGGUUGUAAAGUUCUUUUCUCAGGGAGGAAUAACCAUGGUAGGGAAUGACCGUGGGAUGACGUUAACUGAGGAAUAAGCCCCGGCUAAUUACGUGCCAGCAGCCGCGGUAACACGUAAGGGGCAAGCGUUGUUCGGAAUCAUUGGGCGUAAAGGGUGCGCAGGCGGUUAUUCAAGCUUGAUGUAAAAGAUCCCGGCUUAACUGGGGGAAUGCAUUGGGAACUGGAUGACUAGAGUAUAAGAGGGGGAGUUGGAAUUCCAGGUGUAGGGGUGAAAUCUGUAGAUAUCUGGAAGAACACCAAUGGCGAAGGCAAACUCCUGGCUAUAUACUGACGCUGAGGCACGAAAGCGUGGGGAGCGAACAGGAUUAGAUACCCUGGUAGUCCACGCCGUAAACGAUGUACACUUUGGAGAUGGGUGGUUGCAUUCAUUUCCGAAGCUAACGCAUUAAGUGU
rnacentral:rRNA from 1 species